AUGCACCAUUUAUUUUUAUAAGUUUAGUUAGUAUAUUUAAUACAAUCAUUGCAACUAUAAAUUUAUUAAAUUAAAGUAAUUAGCUUAAAAUUUUAAAGUUAAAUUACAGUUGACGGACUAAAGUCAAAUACAUUAAAAGAUUGAAUAAUCAAAUCAAAAUUUAAAAGUUUGAUAUGUAUUUGCCUAAUAAUGAGUUUUUUUUUUUUUCCCCUCUUUCUCCUCGUGCUUGCUUUAUAUAAUGUUGCUUAUUGUGGCAGUUAUCAUGAUCUUCUUUAGCAAUCAUGCUCUGCUAGCCUCUUGAUAAAAACAACCACAAAAGGUGCUUUUUGUUUGAGUUGCUUUUUGGUUAGUGGGAAAAUCUUUAUCUGCAGCGUGCCAAAUAGACUCGUCGAAUUUUCGAACCCUUGGUUCGGGGAGCCCCACAUUGUGUACACUGCAGGGCUCUCCAAUUCAAAUAAUAUACUCGGGUGAGUUCAUCAAAUCUAUUUAGUUCGUCAAAUCGGCUUAAGUGCAUGUGUGAUCUUGAGAUAAAAAUGUUCCGCAGAUCAAUUUUUUUUCCCCCAAAUUGAAGAGACCUACUACAGUAAUGCUGUCUUUAUAUAUUAUUAGUACAGAAACAUUUGGCAUUAUGCACGUACUCCAAAAUGUCAAAAAAGAUUGAUAAGUCGUGAUUGAAAACAUCUAGAAUUCGAUGAUAAGUAACUCCGUUACGGCCACACAUGACUUGAGAUGAGAGAUAAACUAUAAUCAAGGACAAUAUGAUGACUUUAAUUAAAUUUGAAUAAUAUAAAAAAUAAAAUUUUGUUAUUAUAUCUUUACGUUAAAAAUAAAAAGAUCCGGGUUCUAGCCCAAAAUAGUGCACACGGGGGGCGGGUUUGCGGGUUUUUAGGCUAUUCAUAAUAAAAAAUGGUCCAUUGGCAAGUGUCUGGCCCAUGUUGACCAUGUGAAAAACAUGUCAAGGGCCAAUUUGAAGCCCAUAUAAAGUUAUUGUAUUGGUUGGAUCCCUAGAACUUGGGCCGUGGCGAUGUGUAUAGAAAGCCCACUCACAUGGGCCUACGGAAUAAUAAUAAUAAUAAGAUUUGUCCCCAAUAAUUUUGUAAAAUUAUGCACAUACCCCUGACAAAUUGGUAUUUCGGGUUCAGUACAUGCCUUAUGAAGGGUAUUUAUGUGAACUUCUUGUACGUAUACUAUACACCUUUAAGUUUGUGCAGAGUUGGGCAAUGGUAUGGGUGAGUCCAGAUAAUGUUUAUCAACCUUACAUAGAUGCAAAUUAAAGUUUUUUCUGUUAGAAGCGUGUAUAUAUAAAAAAAAGGAAAAAAAAACAAACUAGAAAUUGUAUUGAUCAUUAUUCAAUUUUCAUAUAUAUAGCAUGUGAGUGAUGAUAUUAACAAGUAUAAUUUUUGUAUUAGCUGAUAGAGUAAUCGAAUUUGAUGAUUAAUUACUGAUCAAAUUUAAAUUAAAUUAAAUUAAUUUGAUUAAUUGUUCCGACUAACUAAACUCUAAAGGUAAAAACGUACAAAACUUAUCCAGAGCUAUGAUCAAUUUUGAAUGGGCUAUCCAGCCUUUCAAAAUUUUAAUUUUAUUUUCCAACUUUUUAAUUUAUUUAAUUUGAGUCAGUUAACGCUACUUUUGACUUUAAAAUUUAAGCUAAUUAUUUAUUUUAAUGAAUUUAUAGUUAUAAAAAUUACAUAAAAUAUAUAAAUAAAAAACCGUAAAGAUAAAUGACGUAUUUAAAAUUUGAAGUCAACAUAUCGUUAACUAACCUAAUCAAACAAAUUGAAAGCUUGGAUAAUAAAAUCAAAAUUUUGAUAGAUGGAUAACCAACUUAAAAAUAGUUUAUAACUUAGAUAAGUUCUGUAUAUAAGCAUGCUACCCACUUCGUUUAUGUCAUUUAGAAUUUCAAACUUAACUGAAAAUGUGAAUCAGUUAGAAUCUGCAUAAUUUUAACUUAAAGAUUUUAGUCUCUGAAUCUUAACACGAAC
rnacentral:lncRNA from 1 species